rnacentral:rRNA from 1 species
AUUGAACGCUGGCGGCAUGCUUUACACAUGCAAGUCGAACGGUAACAGGCCGCAAGGUGCUGACGAGUGGCGAACGGGUGAGUAAUGCAUCGGAACGUGCCCAGUCGUGGGGGAUAACUACUCGAAGGAGUAGCUAAUACCGCAUACGAUCUAUGGAUGAAAGCGGGGGACCGUAAGGCCUCGCGCGAUUGGAGCGGCCGAUGUCAGAUUAGGUAGUUGGUGGGGUAAAGGCUCACCAAGCCAACGAUCUGUAGCUGGUCUGAGAGGACGACCAGCCACACUGGGACUGAGACACGGCCCAGACUCCUACGGGAGGCAGCAGUGGGGAAUUUUGGACAAUGGGCGCAAGCCUGAUCCAGCAAUGCCGCGUGCAGGAAGAAGGCCUUCGGGUUGUAAACUGCUUUUGUACGGAACGAAACGGCUCUGGUUAAUACCCGGGGCUAAUGACGGUACCGUAAGAAUAAGCACCGGCUAACUACGUG